UUAAACUAAAAUUUAAAUAUUUUUUUGUUCCCGAAGCAAAAUGAGCUAAUUAGAGCACUAUACUUUCAGGGUACACUAGCGAGCAAUGUGGAAAAAUUGCUUAAAGAAGUCUAAUUAGGGGUGAAAGGCUAGUCAAAUUUUGCUGAUAUCUGGAUAAAUUUUAAAAAUAUUUAGUAUUAAAGUCAGAUUUGAAAAUCUAAGCUUUCAAAUAAAUAAAAUUGAGUUUCUUUAGUUAAGUAAGUUAUUAAUAUAAAAGUACUUGUGGGGAUCUAAUAAUAAAAAUACUAAACUUUUUAGUCCGUAGAUUUUUAAUUUCUGAAAUUUGAUAUGAGAUUUAAUAAUGUUUAAAUGAGUAUUUUCUAAUAAAAAAAAAGAAGGAACUCGGCAAAACUGCCCUUCAGCUGUUUACCAAAAACAUAGCUAGUUGUGGAGAUAACUAGUUAUCCCUGCCCAGUGAGCUUUUUGCUUUAACGGCCGCAGUACACUGACUGUGCAAAGGUAGCGUAAUCAAUUGGCUUUUAAAUGAAGUCGUGUAUGAAAGGGUUUAUGGAGGGAAGCUGUCUCCUUAUUUUUAAAAAUAAUUUGCUAAGCAAGUGCAAAUACUUGCAAAAUAAUUAAUAGACGAGAAGACCCUAUAAAUUUAAAAUAAAGAUAGGUAAGAUUUAUUUAUUUUAUUUUUGUUGGGGCAACAAGUUAACAGUAUUAGACAAAUUUAGCUAUCUAUUUAAACUUAUAUAACGAGUUUUUCUAAUUAUAUUAAAAUUACUGUAGGGAUAACAGCAUAAUUUCAUAAAAAUGAUUGUGACCUCGAUGUUGGACUAGGGACUUACUAAAUCAACCAUUUAAGUAAGAGGUUCUGUUCGAACUUAUACACCU
rnacentral:rRNA from 1 species